rnacentral:pre_miRNA from 1 species
UCUUAUAGAUUAGCAAAGAAAGUGGUUUCUUGAGAUGGAAUCUACUCCUGGUGAAGAUGCCAUGAGCA